rnacentral:rRNA from 1 species
AGAGUUUGAUCCUGGCUCAGAUUGAACGCUGGCGGCAGGCCUAACACAUGCAAGUCGAGCGGGGUUUUCGGACCUAGCGGCGGACGGGUGAGUAAUGCGUAGGAAGCUACCCGAUAGAGGGGGAUACCAGUUGGAAACGACUGUUAAUACCGCAUAAUGUCUACGGACCAAAGUGUGGGACCUUCGGGCCACAUGCUAUCGGAUGCGCCUACGUGGGAUUAGCUAGUUGGUGAGGUAAUGGCUCACCAAGGCGACGAUCUCUAGCUGGUUUGAGAGGAUGAUCAGCCACACUGGAACUGAGACACGGUCCAGACUCCUACGGGAGGCAGCAGUGGGGAAUAUUGGACAAUGGGCGCAAGCCUGAUCCAGCCAUGCCGCGUGUGUGAAGAAGGCCUUCGGGUUGUAAAGCACUUUCAGCGAGGAGGAAGGGAGUUGUGUUAAUAGCACGGCUUUUUGACGUUACUCGCAGAAGAAGCACCGGCUAACUCUGUGCCAGCAGCCGCGGUAAUACAGAGGGUGCAAGCGUUAAUCGGAAUUACUGGGCGUAAAGCGCACGCAGGCGGUCGGUUAAGUCAGAUGUGAAAGCCCCGGGCUCAACCUGGGAAUUGCAUUUGAAACUGGCCAACUAGAGUAUGUGAGA